AGAGUUUGAUCCUGGCUCAGGACGAACGGCUGGCGGCGUGCUUAACACAUGCAAGUCGAACGGAGCACCCCUGAAGGAGUUUUCGGACAACGGAUGGGAAUGCUUAGUGGCGGACUGGUGAGUAACGCGUGAGGAACCUGCCUUCCAGAGGGGGACAACAGUUGGAAACGACUGCUAAUACCGCAUGAUGCGUUGGAGCCGCAUGACUCCGACGUCAAAGAUUUAUCGCUGGAAGAUGGCCUCGCGUCUGAUUAGCUAGUUGGUGAGGUAACGGCCCACCAAGGCGACGAUCAGUAGCCGGACUGAGAGGUUGGCCGGCCACAUUGGGACUGAGAUACGGCCCAGACUCCUACGGGAGGCAGCAGUGGGGGAAUAUUGGGCAAUGGACGCAAGUCUGACCCAGCAACGCCGCGUGAAGGAAGAAGGCUUUCGGGUUGUAAACUUCUUUUAAGGGGGAAGAGCGGAAGACGGUACCCCUUGAAUAAGCCACGGCUAACUACGUG
rnacentral:rRNA from 1 species